rnacentral:lncRNA from 13 species
GAGGACAGGGUCAGGUACUGUUGCAUUUUCUGGAAUAUUCACUUCUGAAAGCUGAAAAAUGACAGAGCUCAUUCGAAUGGGUGCCCUGCCUCUCAGGCAGCUUCUUAAGGAGCUGGGACUUGUACUGACAUUUGUUUCCAGAAGUGGUACUUUCAGGAAGGGCUUAUGAGAGAGACCAGCCUGUCUGGAAGAGGAAUGGAGACUUCAGCUUGAAGACAGAGUAUAACAGCAAAAGUGACUCACUUCCUAGAGACACAUGAAUCAGCACAAAACAAAUUAAACAAAGCAACAUUAAACAGCAGCAAAGGUAGUAUCCUAUAUUCCUGCUUCUCAUCACAUGGGUGUGAAAGAAACCUUGUUUAGCAACUGUUUGUUUGCUUGUUUAGAAAUCCUUAAAUCGUCAUAAGAAAAUGCCAAACAUCCAACAGGGCUGGAAGAGAGAAGGUACAGGGUGACAUAAAAUGGAGGAUGCUGCAAGCAAUAAUGAAAAGGAGAGAUGAAGAUACAGAUGGUGAAGAAAGGUCCUGUGAACGAGAUGCAGUUAUUUUUUUAUCUCAGCAGUAAGCAGGUGAUUCAGCAUCAAACGCUUCAAAAAGUGAUAAAUUCAUUUCCAAAACCCAGUAAUCAUUACUAAAAGCACAUCUCCAAAGAAUUGAGAUGCUUUUGACUCAGCUGGGAACACAUUCACCAUCUGAGUAAGUGUUGCAACGACUGAAGGUGGUAAAGGCCAGGUAAAUUUGUUACUAUUAAUGUACUUCAAAAAAACUGGGAGCAUCUUUUCUUCUUCCCCCAAACCUAACCAACCAACACUGCCUUGUCUAUUAUAAAACUCACCUGGUAACAGCCAGAAACACUCCUCAUGUUUAUUAGUACAAAAUAGCUGAGGUCACAGUUUCCUGCCCUCUCUACCAUGUUAGCAAACUAGGCAAGCAUAUAUUGAAAAACAUUAAGAUGAUAAC